rnacentral:rRNA from 1 species
GACGAACGCUGGCGGCGUGCUUAACACAUGCAAGUCGAACGGAAAGGCCUUUUCGGAGGUACUCGAGUGGCGAACGGGUGAGUAACACGUGGGUGAUCUGCCCUGCACUCUGGGAUAAGCCUGGGAAACUGGGUCUAAUACCGGAUAGGACCGCACUUUGGGUGGUGGGGGGGAAAGUUUUUUCGGUGUAGGAUGAGCCCGCGGCCUAUCAGCUUGUUGGUGGGGUAAUGGCCUACCAAGGCGGCGACGGGUAGCCGGACUGAGAGGUUGGUCGGCCACAUUGGGACUGAGAUACGGCCCAGACUCCUACGGGAGGCAGCAGUGGGGAAUAUUGCACAAUGGGCGCAAGCCUGAUGCAGCGACGCCGCGUGGGGGAUGACGGCCUUCGGGUUGUAAACUCCUUUCGCCAGGGACGAAGCGUUUUGUGACGGUACCUGGAGAAGAAGCACCGGCUAACUACGUG